GGGCCCGCACAAGCAGUGGAGCAUGUGGUUUAAUUCGAUGCAACGCGAAGAACCUUACCAGGUCUUGACAUCCCUUGCAAUGCUGUAGAGAUACAGUGGAGGUUAUCAAGGAGACAGGUGGUGCAUGGUUGUCGUCAGCUCGUGUCGUGAGAUGUUGGGUUAAGUCCCGCAACGAGCGCAACCCACGUCUUUAGUUGCCAGCAUUUAGUUGGGCACUCUAGAGAGACUGCCGGUGACAAACCGGAGGAAGGUGAGGAUGACGUCAAGUCAGCAUGCCCCUUAUGUCCUGGGCUACACACGUGCUACAAUGGUUAAGACAAAGAGUCGCGAGUUCGUGAGAAGGCAAGCUAACCUCAAAAACCUAGUCUUAGUUCGGAUUGCAGGCUGCAACUCGCCUGCAUG
rnacentral:rRNA from 1 species